rnacentral:rRNA from 1 species
CGUCUAGGCGGCGACCUAAGUCCCAUGUGAAAGCUCCCGGCUCAACUGGGAGAGGGCGUGGGAAACUGGGUAGCUCGAGACUCGGAGGGGGGUGUGGAAUUCCCGGUGGAGUGGUGAAAUGCGUUGAGAUCGGGAGGAACCCCAGUAGCGAAGGCGGCACCCUGGCCGAGAUCUGACGCUGAGGCGCGACAGCGUGGGGAGCGAACG